rnacentral:lncRNA from 1 species
CUCGGCACUUGCCGCGAGGUCUCGGGCUGCGUGUGGCCUUGCUCUGGGGGCCCCUCCUGAACUGGCCUCCCUGCGUCCACGUCAGGCACGGUGUGUGCCACGGGGUGCAGCACGGGGAAAGCUGCGGCGCGGCCUGUUUGCAGCCAGGUCGCAGUCACAGCUGGGUCACCGUCUGCACAUCGCGGCCGUUGCCUGCCUCACUCACCAGCAGCUCACACAGCAAUAGCUCCUGACGUUGCCACUCUGCUGCUGCAUCUGCACUCCUCUGUGUCACGUCUACAUGCCACGCUGCACGUCUCAGGUUUCCCAGCUGAACACAGGACCCAACCACCACCUUGCAAACACCUCUUACCUGCAUCCGGUUGCCAUGGGAACUCAAGGAGAGCCAAGGCUGAAGCCACCUGAGACACCUGAGUCUAGGGCGGGCUUGUAGCCCUCAGAGCAGCCUGUGCAGAUCUCAGUCUCACGGCCACCGGUCAGGGAGGGUGUGCAAGAAGACCUCUCUACGCACAGACGCCACCAGGCCACCAUGGCAUGCACUAUAAAGCAUGUGAGGGUCUCACUAUGUAGUUCAGGCUGGACUUGAACUCAGUAUGGAGCCCAGGCUUGCCUCGAACUCAUGGCAAUCCUCCUGCCUCAGCCUCCCGAGUGCCAAGAUUACAGAUGUGUGCCAUCACACCCAGUGUGAUAUUUAUU